rnacentral:rRNA from 1 species
GCGCGAAAACUUUACAAUGCUGGCAACAGCGAUAAGGGAACCGCGAGUGCCAGGUUACAAAUCUGGCUGUCGAGAUGCCUAAAAAGCAUUUCAUAGCAAGGGCCGGGCAAGACCGGUGCCAGCCGCCGCGGUAACACCGGCGGCUCGAGUGGUAACCGUUAUUAUUGGGUCUAAAGGGUCUGUAGCCGGCCGGAUAAGUCUCUUGAGAAAUCUGGCAGCUUAACUGCCAAGCUUUCAGGAGAUACUGUCUGGCUCGAGGCCGGGAGAGGUGAGAGGUACUUCAGGGGUAGGGGUGAAAUCUUGUAAUCCUUGAAGGACCACCAGUGGCGAAGGCGUCUCACCAGAACGGACCUGACGGCAAGGGACGAAAGCUAGGGGCACGAACCG